ACUUACAGCCACGCCACCCUGAGCACGCCCAAUCUCAUCUGAUCUUGGAAGCUAAGCAGAGUCGGGCCUGGUUAGGACUUAGAUGGGAGACUGCCUGGUAAUACCAGGUACUGUAAGCU
rnacentral:rRNA from 1 species